UACGUAGGUGGCAAGCGUUAUCCGGAAUUAUUGGGCGUAAAGAGCGCGCAGGUGGUUAAUUAAGUCUGAUGUGAAAGCCCACGGCUUAACCGUGGAGGGUCAUUGGAAACUGGUUGACUUGAGUGCAGAAGAGGGAAGUGGAAUUCCAUGUGUAGCGGUGAAAUGCGUAGAGAUAUGGAGGAACACCAGUGGCGAAGGCGGCUUCCUGGUCUGCAACUGACGCUGAGGCGCGAAAGCGUGGGGAGCAAGCAGG
rnacentral:rRNA from 1 species